rnacentral:rRNA from 1 species
AUUGAACGCUGGCGGCAGGCCUAACACAUGCAAGUCGAACGAGUGGCGGACGGGUGAGUAAUGUCUGGGAAACUGCCUGAUGGAGGGGGCUAACUACUGGAAACGGUAGCUAAUACCGCAUACCAUCGGAUGUGCCCAGAUGGGAUUAGCUAGUAGGUGGGGUAAAGGCUCACCUAGGCGACGAUCCCUAGCUGGUCUGAGAGGAUGACCAGCCACACUGGAACUGAGACACGGUCCAGACUCCUCCGGGAGGCAGCAGUGGGGAAUAUUGAACAAGGGGCGCAAGCCUGAGGCAGCCAUGCCGCGGGUAGGAAGAAGGUAUUCGGGUUGUAAAGUACUUUCAGCGGGGAGGCGUUACCCGCAGAAUAAGCACCGGCUAACUCCGUGCCAGCAGCCGCGGUAAUAC